rnacentral:tRNA from 2 species
AUUUAUAUAAUUUAUUAGAAGAAUAUUGCAUUGAAGCUGCAAAUGAGAGUGAGUAGCUCUAUAAAUA